rnacentral:snRNA from 1 species
GGCCCUGUUCUUUGAUUGAUC